GCAUGCAGUCGACGGGCCCGGCUUCGGCCGGGCCAGUGGCGCAAGGGUGAGUAAGGCGACGGUAACCAACCCCAUGGUUGGGUAUAGCCGCGGGAAACUGCGGGUAAUCCCCAGCGACGUAAGAUGCCGGCAUCGGCGUCUUACCAAAGCUUUGGCGCCGUGGGACGGGCCGUUGUGGUAUUAGGUCGUUGGCGGGGUAACGGCCCACCAAGCCUCUGAUGCCUACCGGGCGUGCGAGCGUGGCCCGGCACACUGGGACUGAGACACUGCCCAGACUCCUACGGGAGGCUGCAGUCGAGAAUCUUCGGCAAUGGGCGCAAGCCUGACCGAGCGACGCCGCGUGGAGGAUGAAGGCCUUCGGGUUGUAAACUCCUGUCGAGGGGGAGGAA
rnacentral:rRNA from 1 species